rnacentral:rRNA from 1 species
GCAGUAGCCGCGGGAAUACGAAGGGGGCUAGCGUUGCUCGGAAUGACUGGGCGUAAAGGGCGCGUAGGCGGCGAUCAAAGUCAGGCGUGAAAUUCCUGGGCUCAACCUGGGGGCUGCGCUUGAUACUUGGUUGCUUGAGUGGGGAAGAGGGUCGUGGAAUUCCCAGUGUAGAGGUGAAAUUCGUAGAUAUUGGGAAGAACACCGGUGGCGAAGGCGGCGACCUGGUCCUUGACUGACGCUGAGGCGCGAAAGCGUGGGGAGCAAACAGGAUUAGAUACCCCGGUAGUCCCUGUCUCUUAUAC